rnacentral:rRNA from 1 species
UAUGUAGGGUGCUAGCGUUGUCCGGAUUUAUUGGGCGUAAAGGGCUCGUAGGCGGCGUGUCGCGUCGGGUGUGAAAGCCCGCUGCUUAACGGCGGGUUGGCUUCCGGUACGGGCAACGCUGGAGUGCGGAGGGGAGACUGGAAUUCCUGGUGUAGCGGUGGAAUGCGCAGAUAUCAGGAGGAACACCGGUGGCGAAGGCGGGUCUCUGGGCCGUUACUGACGCUGAGGAGCGAAAGCGUGGGGAGCGAACAGG